rnacentral:lncRNA from 13 species
AGGGACACUGAGUCUGGAGGGACACUGAGUCUGGAGGGACACUGAGUCUGUGUUUUUUCUCUUUUAGAAAAUGAAGUGGUCAACCUAUUGGUUCAGGCUCCAAAACACAACAUUAUUCUUCUACACUAAGAAACAUGGGAGUGCUUCACACCUAAGAGGCCUGUACUACAUCUACACUGUGCAGUCUGUGCGUGAGAUCCAGAGGGAGAAGCGUAAGCACUACGUGUUUGAAAUCACCAUGAAGAAUGGGAAGAGGAAAGUACUGUCUGCAGAGACAGGGGAUCUGAGGAGGGAGUGGAUUGGCCAGCUGUGGAGGGCCAUGCAUCUCUCAGGCCCAGGGGGUACAGACCCAGGCUGCAUACGACAGCAGGAUGUGAGGUCUGAUGACCUGAAGGCCAGAGGUCGCUUCAGCACCUAUAACAGCUCAGAAUGUGACAGCAUGAUGGAACCACUGGGGGUUCAUCGACCCCUCUAUGCACCCCUCAACCCCUCCACCCCUGACCAAGACCUAAACCAGGGACACAGGAUUACCCAGUGCCUCUCUGGCCCCCUCACCCCUGACCAAAAUCUGGGGCACAGGGCUACCCUCUCUCUCUCCCUCACUGAUGAGCCCAGUAAUGAGGAAGCCAUAUACCAGAACACCAUCUCACAUUAUGGAGAGGAGGAUGAAGACAGUGUCCAUAGAUUUAGAAGGAGAUGUGAGGAGGAGAGAGAUGAAGAAGAGGAGGAAGAGUGUAAGGAGGAAGAGGAUCAG